UAUAUUUUCCCAUAAUGCUUAUGUUUUUAUUCCUGUUGUGUUGGGGUGCACUGGGUAGCAUUUUGGGCACAUUUGUGAGUGAUAAUUGAGAUUUUGAACUGGUCAAAGCAGGAAAAUCACAACAUUAACAAUGGUUUCAUCCCAUUAAGUGUGCCAGGAAGCCAUGUCGGUGAAUGAGCAUGCACAAUACCAGAGCCCUGGAACCAGCUCACCUAAAUGGACUGCCGCCAUCACCUGAGCUUCAACAAGUCAAAAUGUCUGCCCUGGAGAGGGCCUGUUCAUGACAGAGAAGCCACCAAAAUUGAGUUAGCUGACUGAAAAGGCUGUUUUUCUUCCUGACCCAGAAGUGUAAACAAGCAGAGAAGUGAGUUGUUGUAGCACCGGAGUACACGGUCGAGGCAGAGGCGAGUGCUGCAGGGGACUUAAAUACGCCAUGUUUAAACAGAGCUACAUCAGUGUCAAUGAAGACACCUUCGGCAGAGGACCUCGCUCAGGUGCGGUCUGUCAGCCGCCGACUGUCCGUUUCCACCCGCUGCCCUUUCUGCUUCUCUGGGGCGAGCUUUGGGACCACCAAACCAAACCAAGUGUGUUUACAUCCAGUCUAUGUUCACAUAGGUAAACGGUGCUCUGUUAUGAGCCAAGACUGGGCAGGAAUAACUUUGUGUAAUGGCAGGAAUGCUGCUGCUGCUGCUCGAUGCCCGGAUAUCAGUAGACCCAGCCAUCCUUAAAAGUAUACAGGCUGUCCAUGCCUCUAAUUCCUGCUAAGACAUUGCCUUUUCAACUUGUAAAUAACAACAAGCCGUGCUUUACAAACUGAAGGACCAGUGAAGCCAGCUGCUUAACUGGAGGCCCAGCUGACCUGAGAGAGAAACAUUAUCUGCACUAAUGACUGGAAGGCUGUUAUCUGGAGAUGAGUUCAACGCCUACACUUGCUGGCCUCAGCCCUCAGCAGUCUCUAUGGAGCCUCCUACUCAUGUGGCUGGACUCUGGAUAAGCUGCUCGGAGCAGAGCGGCGCUGCUAUAGAGGAGAUUAUACUUGUCUGCUGGAGAGUACCUACCACCUCUUACCCAUCCCCUCCAAAUAUGUGAAGGGAGACGAGGGAGGGGAAGGUUCAGCAUCGAUUAAACACCCAGAACAAAAAUUGGCAGACAGACAACAAAAAUGAGCACGAGGGACGGAGAAGAAAGAAGGAGUGCAGGGGAGAAAAUGGGUGUCUACCAAAAGUGAAAUAGUGGAGCAAGAGGGGGAAGAACUUGAGAAGAGGGUGUGAGAGUGAGAGAGAGAGAGAAGCGGUGAUGAGAGAGCGCAUUAGUACAAAAAAGAGAGGAAGAGCGAGGAAGAGUGAGGAGUGAAAGAGUCACAGAACAAAAGCAGGAAGACAGAAAAUGGAGAGAGAGAGCUGAGAAAAAGUGGAGAUGGAGGGAAGAGAGCAACAGAUGAAGGGGAAAGUGCUGGAGUGCCCCCCACAGGCCUGCUGACGCACCACCAUGGCAACA